GGCCGGAAUGAGUAGCGAGAGGAAGGUGGGAAUCCUUCCGGCCGAAUAUCUAAGGUUUCCAGAGUAAAGCUGAUCUGCUCUGGGUAAGGCGGGGCCUAAGGCGAGGUCGAAAGACGUAGUCGAUGGAUAACAGGUUGAAAUUCCUGUACUAUCCUGUAACAGAACUGUGGGGACACAGGCAGAGAGCGUGAGCCGGGAAUGGAAAGACCGGUACAAGCGAGGUAGGAGAAGAGUUGGCAAAUCCGCUCUUUAAUCUGAAGACGUGAUGUGGACUGAAAAUAAGUAGGGAAGCACGUGAGCUGACUGUCAAGAAAAGCCGCUAUUGUUUGCAGGAUACCCGUACCGUAAACCGACACAGGUGGAUGAGGAGAGAAUCCUAAGGCCGACGGGAGAAGCAUUGUUAAGGAACUCGGCAAAAUGACUCCGUAACUUCGGGAGAAGGAGUGCCAGUAAGAUGGCCGCAGAGAAUUGGCCCAAGCAACUGUUUAGCAAAAACACAGGUCUAUGCAAAACCGAAAGGUGAGGUAUAUGGGCUGACGCCUGCCCGGUGCUGGAAGGUUAAGGGGAGAGGUUAGCGCAAGCGAAGCUUUGAACUUAAGCCCCAGUAAACGGCGGCCGUAACUAUAACGGUCCUAAGGUAGCGAAAUUCCUUGUCGGGUAAGUUCCGACCCGCACGAAAGGCGUAAUGAUUUGGGCACUGUCUCAACAAUGCACCCGGUGAAAUUGAAAUACCAGUGAAGAUGCUGGUUACCUGCGCCAGGACGGAAAGACCCCAUGGAGCUUUACUCCAGCUUGAUACUGGGAUUCGGUAUUGCAUGUACAGGAUAGGUGGGAGGCUAGGAAAUGGUAACGCCAGUUGCCAUGGAGCCAAUGUUGGGAUACCACCCUUGCAGUACUGGGUUUCUAACCAGCAGCCGUGACCCGGCUGGGGGACAAUGUCAGGUGGGGAGUUUGACUGGGGCGGUCGCCUCCGAAAGGGUAUCGGAGGCGCUCAAAGGUUCCCUCAGAAUGGUUCGAAACCAUUCGAAGAGUGCAAAGGCAGAAGGGAGCUUGACUGCGACACCGACGGGUGGAGCAGGUACGAAAGUAGGACUUAGUGAUCCGGUGGUAUAAAGUGGGAUUGCCAUCGCUCAACGGAUAAAAGCUACCCUGGGAUAACAGGCUUAUCACUCCCAAGAGUUCACAUCGACGGAGUGGUUUGGCACCUCGAUGUCGGCUCAUCGCAUCCUGGGGCUGAAGUAGGUCCCAAGGGUUGGGCUGUUCGCCCAUUAAAGCGGUACGCGAGCUGGGUUCAGAACGUCGUGAGACAGUUCGGUCCCUAUCCGGCGUGGGCGUAAGAUAUUUGAGAGGAGCUGUCCUUAGUACGAGAGGACCGGGAUGGACUGGCCGCUGGUGUAUCUGUUGUCUUACCAAAGGCAUAGCAGAGUAGCCAAGCCGGGAAGGGAUAAACGCUGAAGGCAUCUAAGCGUGAAGCCCCCCUCAAGAUGAGAUAUCUCAUAACGUCAAGUUAGUAAGACCCCUUGAAGACGACGAGGUAGAUAGGGCAGAGGUGGAAGUGUGGUAACACAUGGAGCUGACUGUUACUAAUAGGUCGAGGGCAUAACC
rnacentral:rRNA from 1 species